UCUAUCUCUCUCUCACACACACACACACACACACACACACACACACACACANUGUGUGUGUGUGUGUGUGUGUGUGUGUGUGAAGUCGA
rnacentral:miRNA from 14 species